AUUGAACGCUGGCGGCAGGCCUAACACAUGCAAGUCGAACGGUAACAGGAAGCAGCUUGCUGCUUCGCUGACGAGUGGCGGACGGGUGAGUAAUGUCUGGGAAACUGCCUGAUGGAGGGGGAUAACUACUGGAAACGGUAGCUAAUACCGCAUAACGUCGCAAGACCAAAGAGGGGGACCUUAGGGCCUCUUGCCAUCGGAUGUGCCCAGAUGGGAUUAGCUAGUAGGUGGGGUAACGGCUCACCUAGGCGACGAUCCCUAGCUGGUCUGAGAGAAUGACCAGCCCCACUGGAACUGAGACACGGUCCAGACUCCUACGGGAGGCAGCAGUGGGGAAUAUUGCCCAAUGGGCGCAAGCCUGAUGCAGGCAUGCCGCGUGUAUGAAGAAGGCCUUCGGGUUGGAAAGUACUUUCAGCGGGGAGGAAGGGAGUAAAGUUAAUACCUUUGCUCAUUGACGUUACCCGCAGAAGAAGCGCCGGCUAACUCCGUG
rnacentral:rRNA from 1 species